rnacentral:rRNA from 1 species
UAAUACGUAGGGUGCAAGCGUUGUCCGGAAUUAUUGGGCGUAAAGAGCUCGUAGGUGGUCUGUUGCGUCGGCUGUGAAAACCCGGGGCUCAACCCCGGGCCUGCAGCCGAUACGGGCAGACUAGAGUUCGGCAGGGGAGACUGGAAUUCCUGGUGUAGCGGUGAAAUGCGCAGAUAUCAGGAGGAACACCGGUGGCGAAGGCGGGUCUCUGGGCCGAUACUGACACUGAGGAGCGAAAGCGUGGGGAGCGAACAGGAUUAGAUACCCUGGUAGUCCACGCCGUAAACGUUGGGCGCUAGGUGUGGGUUCCCUUCCACGGGAUCCGUGCCGCAGCUAACGCAUUAAGCGCCCCGCCUGGGGAGUACGGCCGCAAGGCUA